rnacentral:rRNA from 1 species
ACGAACGCUGGCGGCGUGCCUAAUACAUGCAAGUCGAGCGAAGUUUUUCUGGUGCUUGCACUAGCAAAACUUAGCGGCGAACGGGUGAGUAACACGUAAAGAACCUGCCUCAUAGACUGGGACAACUAUUGGAAACGAUAGCUAAUACCGGAUAACAGUAUUUCUCGCAUGAGAGAUAUUUAAAAGUUGGUUAUGCUAACACUAUGAGAUGGCUUUGCGGUGCAUUAGCUAGUUGGUGGGGUAAAGGCCCACCAAGGCGACGAUGCAUAGCCGACCUGAGAGGGUGAUCGGCCACACUGGGACUGAGACACGGCCCAGACUCCUACGGGAGGCAGCAGUAGGGAAUCUUCCGCAAUGGGCGAAAGCCUGACGGAGCAACGCCGCGUGAGUGAAGAAGGAUUUCGGUUCGUAAAGCUCUGUUGUUAGGGAAGAAUGGAUAUGUAGUAACUAUACAUGUAAGAGACGGUACCUAACCAGAAAGCCACGGCUAACUACGUG